rnacentral:rRNA from 1 species
UACGGGGGGGGCAAGCGUUGUUCGGAAUUACUGGGCGUAAAGGGCUCGUAGGUGGCCAACUAAGUCGGACGUGAAAUCCCUCAGCUUAACUGAGGAACUGCGUCCGAUACUGGAUGGCUUGAGUUUGGGAGAGGGAUGCGGAAUUCCAGGUGUAGCGGUGAAAUGCGUAGAUAUCUGGAGGAACACCGGUGGCGAAGGCGGGUCUCUGGGCCGAUACUGACGCUGAGGAGCGAAAGCGUGGGGAGCGAACAGG